AACGAACGCUGGCGGCAGGCCUAACACAUGCAAGUCGAGCGAAGCCUUCGGGCUUAGUGGCGGACGGGUGAGUAACGCGUGGGAACGUGCCCUUUGGUACGGAAUAGCCCCGGGAAACUGGGAGUAAUACCGUAUGUGGUCGAGAGACGAAAGAUUUAUCGCCAAAGGAUCGGCCCGCGUUGGAUUAGGUAGUUGGUGGGUUAAUGGCCUACCAAGCCGACGAUCCAUAGCUGGUUUGAGAGGAUGAUCAGCCACACUGGGACUGAGACACGGCCCAGACUCCUACGGGAGGCAGCAGUGGGGAAUCUUAGACAAUGGGGGAAACCCUGAUCUAGCCAUGCCGCGUGAUCGAUGAAGGCCUUAGGGUUGUAAAGAUCUUUCAGUGGGGAAGAUAAUGACUGUACCCACAGAAGAAGCCCCGGCUAACUCCGUGCCAGCCGCCGCCGUAAUAC
rnacentral:rRNA from 1 species